rnacentral:tRNA from 3 species
CGGGAGAUGGCUGAGUGGUUGAAAGCGGCGGUCUUGAAAACCGUUGAGGGUAAAACCUCCGGGGGUUCGAAUCCCUCUCUCCCGGCCA